GAUGAACGCUAGCGACAGGCUUAACACAUGCAAGUCGAGGGGCAGCACGGGAGUAGCAAUACAACUGGUGGCGACCGGCGCACGGGUGAGUAACGCGUAUGCAACCUACCUAUCAGAGGGGAAUAACCCGGCGAAAGUCGGACUAAUACCGCAUAAAACAGGGGCAACGCAUGGGGAUAUUGGUUAAAGAAAUUCGCUGAUAGAGGGGCAUGCGUUCCAUUAGGGAGUUGGUGAGGUAACGGCUCACCAAGCCGACGAUGGAUAGGGGAAGUGAGAGGUUGGUCCCCCACACUGGUACUGAGACACGGACCAGACUCCUACGGGAGGCAGCAGUGAGGAAUAUUGGUCAAUGGGCGGGAGCCUGAACCAGCCAAGUCGCGUGAAGGAAGAAGGAUCUAUGGUUCGUAAACUUCUUUUGCAGGGGAAUAAAGUGCAGGACGUGUCCUGUUUUGUAUGUACCCUGAGAAUAAGGAUCGGCUAACUCCGUGCCAGCCGCCGCGGUAA
rnacentral:rRNA from 1 species